GACGAACGCUGGCGGCGUGCUUAACACAUGCCAGUCGAACGGAAAGGCCCUGCUUUUGUGGUGUGCUCGAGUGGCGAACGGGUGAGUAACACGUGAGUAACCUGCCCUUGACUUUGGGAUAACUUCAGGAAACUGGGGCUAAUACCGGAUAGGAGCUCCUGCUGCGUGGUGGGGGUUGGAAAGUUUCGGCGGUUGGGGAUGGACUCGCGGCUUAUCAGCUUGUUGGUGGGGUAGGGGGUUACCAAGGCUUUGACGGGUAGCCGGCCUGAGAGGGUGACCGGCCACAUUGGGACUGAGAUACGGCCCAGACUCCUACGGGAGGCAGCAGUGGGGAAUAUUGCACAAUGGGCGGAAGCCGGAUGCAGCAGCGCCGCGGGCGGGAUGACGGCCUUCGGGUUGUAAACCGCUUUCGCCUGUGACGAAGCGGGAGUGACGGUAAUGGGUAAAGAAGCACCGGCUAACUACGUG
rnacentral:rRNA from 1 species